rnacentral:rRNA from 1 species
CAAGUCGAACGGGAUUUUUUUCUGUAGCAAUACAGGAAAAAGUCUAGUGGCGAACGGGUGCGUAACACGUGAGCAACCUGCCGUGAAGUGGGGGAUAGCUCGCCGAAAGGCGAAUUAAUACCGCAUGUGGCCAAGGAAGACAUCUUCCUGACGCCAAAGCCGGGGCAACCUGGCGCUUCUCGAGGGGCUCGCGGCCUAUCAGCUUGUUGGUGAGGUAACGGCUCACCAAGGCUAUGACGGGUAGCUGGUCUGAGAGGACGACCAGCCACACUGGAACUGAGACACGGUCCAGACACCUACGGGUGGCAGCAGUCGAGAAUUUUUCACAAUGGGGGAAACCCUGAUGGAGCGACGCCGCGUGGAGGAUGAAGGUUUUCGGAUUGUAAACUCCUGUCAUUAGAGAACAAGGCACACGGUUUAACUGGCCGUGUGUUGAUAGUAUCUGAAGAGGAAGAGACGGCUAACUCUGUGCCAGCAGCCGCGGUAAUACAGAGGUCUCAAGCGUUGUUCGGAUUCAUUGGGCGUAAAGGGUGCGUAGGUGGCGAUGUAAGUCGGAUGUGAAAUCUCCAGGCUUAACUUGGAAACUGCAUUCGAUACUGCGUCGCUCGAGGACUGUAGAGGGCAUUGGAAUUCACGGUGUAGCAGUGAAAUGCGUAGAUAUCGUGAGGAAGACCAGUGGCGAAGGCGAAUGCCUGGGCAGUUCCUGACACUGAGGCACGAAGGCCAGGGGAGCAAACGGGAUUAGAUACCCCGGUAGUCCUGGCAGUAAACGGUGCACGUUUGGUGUGGGAGGAUUCGACCCCUUCCGUGCCGGAGCUAACGCGUUAAACGUGCCGCCUGGGGAGUACGGUCGCAAGAUUAAAACUCAAAGAAAUUGACGG